UACAGAGGGUGCGAGCGUUGUUCGGAAUUAUUGGGCGUAAAGAGCUCGUAGGCGGUUUGUCGCGUCUGCCGUGAAAGUCCGGGGCUCAACUCCGGAUCUGCGGUGGGUACGGGCAGACUAGAGUGAUGUAGGGGAGACUGGAAUUCCUGGUGUAGCGGUGAAAUGCGCAGAUAUCAGGAGGAACACCGAUGGCGAAGGCAGGUCUCUGGGCAUUAACUGACGCUGAGGAGCGAAAGCAUGGGGAGCAAACAGG
rnacentral:rRNA from 1 species